rnacentral:rRNA from 1 species
ACUCCUACGGGAGGCAGCAGUGGGGAAUAUUGCACAAUGGAGGGAACUCUGAUGCAGCGACGCCGCGUGAGUGAAGAAGGUCUUCGGAUCGUAAAACUCUGUCCUUGGUGAAGAAAAGGACGGUAGCCAAGGAGGAAGCCCCGGCUAACUACGUGCCAGCAGCCGCGGUAAUA